rnacentral:rRNA from 1 species
UACGUAGGGUGCAAGCGUUGUCCGGAAUCAUUGGGCGUAAAGAGCGCGUAGGCGGUCCGAUAAGUCGGUUGUGAAAACUGGGGGCUCAACCCUCAGAGGCCGACCGAUACUGUCGGGCUAGAGUCCGGAAGAGGCGAGUGGAAUUCCUGGUGUAGCGGUGAAAUGCGCAGAUAUCAGGAGGAACACCAAUGGCGAAGGCAGCUCGCUGGGACGGUACUGACGCUGAGGCGCGAAAGCGUGGGGAGCAAACGGG